GGAGAUGGACCCGUAAGGACGGGAGCUGGUUGGAAGCCAGUCAGGGCUGCAAGGCUCAGCAGGUUCGAUUCCUGUCAUCUCCG
rnacentral:tRNA from 1 species